AACGAACGCUGGCGGCAGGCCUAGCACAUGCAAGUCGAGCGAGGACUUCGGUCCUAGCGGCGGACGGGUGAGUAACGCGUGGGAACGUGCCCUUUGCUUCGGAAUAGCCCUGGGAAAUUGGGAGUAAUAUCGGAUGAGCCCCUUGGGGGAAAGAUGUAUCGGCGAAGGAUCGGCCCGCGUUGGAUUAGGUUGUUGGUGGGGUAAUGGCCUACCAAGCCGACGAUCCAUAGCUGGUUUGAGAGGAUGAUCAGCCACACUGCGACUGAGACACGGCCCAGACUACUACGGGAGGGAGCGGUGGGGGAUCUUAGACAAUGGGGGAAACCCUGAUCGAGCCAUGCCGGGUAAGCGAUGAAGGCGUUAGGGUUGUAAAGCUCUUUCAGCUGGGAAGAUAAUGACGGUACCAGCAGAAGAAGCCCCGGCUAACUCCGUG
rnacentral:rRNA from 1 species